GAUGAACGCUGGCGGCGUGCUUAACACAUGCAAGUCGAACGAAGCACUUUAUUUGAUUUCCUUCGGGACUGAUUAUUUUGUGACUGAGUGGCGGACGGGUGAGUAACGCGUGGGUAACCUGCCUUGUACAGGGGGAUAACAGUUGGAAACGGCUGCUAAUACCGCAUAAGCGCACAGCAUCGCAUGAUGCAGUGUGAAAAACUCCGGUGGUAUAAGAUGGACCCGCGUUGGAUUAGCUAGUUGGUGAGGUAACGGCCCACCAAGGCGACGAUCCAUAGCCGACCUGAGAGGGUGACCGCCCACAUUGGGACUGAGACACGGCCCAAACUCCUACGGGAGGCAGCAGUGGGGAAUAUUGCACAAUGGGCGAAAGCCUGAUGCAGCGACGCCGCGUGAGCGAAGAAGUAUUUCGGUAUGUAAAGCUCUAUCAGCAGGGAAGAUAAUGACGGUAC
rnacentral:rRNA from 1 species